GUUUAUCUACAAGCUCCUGGAGGAGCAGAGGCCACUCAGCCCCUGAUACAAUCUUGGGUGCCGUGUGCGUGGGGACAGUUUACAGCCCCGCAUGACAGAAAUCAGAUAUUUAGGGAGAUGGAGUGAUGGCCUGGCGUUAGUGGGGUCCGACGUGUUCCAGGCUCCGUGCCCUAUCCCCAGGGCUCUAAUGGCUGUGUGUGGGUGGGGGUGUACUCCACCUAUGAGGCGCUGGGAGUCAAAUGCAUUUAUCAGCUUCCUGGAGAUUUAAAACCCAAUAGCCUCUCUCCUGCCAUUGCAGAGAAUGGCAACAGUGUACGCAGGCGAAACACGUGGUUCCCAGGGUCCACGCUGCUUUUUCUUCCCCCAGGCCUGCAAAUUAUUCUCCCCGUGGUCUUUCUGCUUGAGUCACUGACUCUAUGCUCGUUUACCAACCAGGUACCCUGUGCCAGGUGCCGUGUCCACGCUGGGUCACCUCGGGGGCCAAGACAGCUGAUGGCCGCAUCCGGGGGUGUGGACAGAUGGGAAGAGGAGCGCACCAGUCAAUGCGUGAGCCCAUUUCCGGCAAUCAGCGCCACGACGGUACCAACGUGGAGGGGCGCAAUCGUGCCUGGGCGGGUGGUUCGAGGAGGAGCAUCUGAGGAGGUCUGCCCACCAAUGAAACAACUGAUGCCAGCUGACCCGAAG
rnacentral:lncRNA from 1 species